rnacentral:rRNA from 1 species
AGAGUUGAUCAUGGCUCAGGAUGAACGCUGGCGGCGUGCCUAACACAUGCAAGUCGAGCGGAGAUAAGUGAAGCCUAGCGAUCUAUCUAGCGGCGGAUGGGUGAGUAACACGUGGGUAACCUGCCCUGCACUGGGGAAUAACAGCUGGAAACGGCUGUUAAUGCCGCAUAUGCGCACGGAGCCGCAUGGCUUUGGGCGGAAAGAUUUAUCGGUGCAGGAUGGGCCCGCGCCGGAUUAACUAGUUGGCGGGGUAACGGCCCACCAAGGUGAUGAUCCGUAGCCGACCUGAGAGGGUGACCGGCCACAUUGGGACUGAGACACGGCCCAAACUCCUACGGGAGGCAGCAGUGGGGGAUAUUGCACAAUGGGGGAAACCCUGAUGCAGCGACGCCGCGUGAAGGAUGAAGUAUUUCGGUAUGUAAACUUCUAUCAGCGGGGAAGAAGAUGACGGUACCCGACUAAGAAGCCCCGGCUAACUACGUGCCAGCAGCUGC